UACGGAGGGUGCGAGCGUUGUCCGGAAUUACUGGGCGUAAAGCGCACGUAGGCGGCUUUGCAAGUUAGAGGUGAAAGCCCGGGGCUCAACUCCGGAAUUGCCUUUAAAACUGCAUCGCUAGAGUUGUGGAGAGGUAAGUGGAAUUCCGAGUGUAGAGGUGAAAUUCGUAGAUAUUCGGAAGAACACCAGUGGCGAAGGCGACUUACUGGACACAUACUGACGCUGAGGUGCGAAAGCGUGGGGAGCAAACAGG
rnacentral:rRNA from 1 species